ensembl:Mt_tRNA
GCAUUAGUAGCUCAGAAAAGAGCGUUGGUCUUGUAAACCAAAGGCCGGAGAAUUAAUCCUCCCUACUGCU